CUAAAUCAGCAGGCCUCGAUCCUACAACACACUAAUUAACAACUAGCCGCCCAAACCAGCGGGCUUUGAUCUA
rnacentral:tRNA from 1 species